AGAGUUUGAUCAUGGCUCAGAGCGAACGCUGGCGGCAGGCCUAACACAUGCAAGUCGAGCGCCGUAGCAAUACGGAGCGGCAGACGGGAGAGUAACACGUGGGAACGUGCCCUUCAGUUCGGAACAACCCAGGGAAACUUGGGCUAAUACCGGAUACGUCCGCAAGGAGAAAGAUUUAUCGCUGAAGGAUCGGCCCGCGUCUGAUUAGCUUGUUGGUGAGGUAACGGCUCACCAAGGCGACGAUCAGUAGCUGGUCUGAGAGGAUGAUCAGCCUCACUGGGACUGAGACACGGCCCAGACUCCUACGGGAGGCAGCAGUGGGGAAUAUUGGACAAUGGGCGCAAGCCUGAUCCAGCCAUGCCGCGUGGAUGAUGAAGGCCCUAGGGUUGUAAAGUCCUUUCGGCGGGGAAGAUAAUGACGGUACCCGCAGAAGAAGCCCCGGCUAACUUCGUGCCAGCAGCCGCGGUA
rnacentral:rRNA from 1 species